UAUAGCUGCUGCGGGAACCUUAACUCGCUUUCAUUGACUUCCGGAGGAUUAAGUCAGAAACAAUAGUAUUUUAGUGCCAUUUUUUGUAUUUACUUGGCAAAUACUCCUGUCAAUUUAAAGUUUCCCAGGGGAGGUGUCAAGAGGUCACUGAAAUGUUCCUGGGCAAGGAAGGGAGAGUGGUGAAAUGCUGGCCUCCCUGCUGCUUCCUUCAGUGUUUUUCUUCAUGUCAUUAGAGCUGUACUCGGCACUUUUCCCCCAGCUUCCAUUAGCAGAGAGAGUGAGUGAAUGUAAAAAUGUUAGUGAGGAAUGGAGGCAAGGAACACAGAGGAGGCUUCCCUGCUGUUUUAUUUGGCUAAUUCUAGACCUUGGUACCAGUAAACUUAGUCAUAGAAAGCAAGUAUAGAAUAUAUUGUCUAGUAUGCAUAAAAGCCUCUCAGAUACUUCCAGCACAUUUUUUUCCCCCCAGUUCAUUUUAUUAUUGUACAAUGUGAAUUUACUUCACUUUGUGAUCUGUCCAAGGAUCACAAAGCCUUCUGACCUCUCUGCUGUCCCAUGACAGGGAAAUACAGUUCUCCAAGGCUGAAGAAGCAUCAGGGUUUGAUUUCCAGAAACGAGGUACGCGCUGUUUCCAUGAACAGCAGUGUCACUGUGAGCGAGCAGCACAUUUUUCAGAUGCCAUGAAGACAGAAAUGCAGAAUUGAGGGACAGGAGAGACACCCCAUGUCUUCCAGGCCUUGUAUGCAAGGCUUCCGACAUUCAGCUGAGCUAUCACAGACAGCUUUGUCACAGCUAGCAACUGUAGAAAGGGAUCUGACCUGUUUCACACGAUAGGUUAGUGGGAUCCCUCUAACAAGCCCCCAUGGUUUAUCAUAUGAUAAAACAGGCAAUUUCACAAUUAUCUGCCUUUUUAAAAAGAACUACUUCAGUUAUACAUUUCCCACACUUUUAGCUGCUGUAAGGCAGAAUAAAACAUAUGUGGGGAGUUUUUCUAGCAAGUGAAAACAAAAGCAGUGUUACAUAAGUACAUUAUGGCUUGAUUAAUGCAAGAUAAACAUUAUAUGCUACACAGCUUUUGCUCCUCAGCAGGCCUAUUUCACAUCGUGUGGUCAUACAUAGAUUUCUCUUACUAAUGUUGCCCAAGCAGCCUUGCACCAUCCUUGACAGAUGAGCUUUAGGAACUAUUACGAAGUGGUUUAAGUUAUAGAUGCAUCUGCUGUGCCCCAUCCUUCUGAGAGAGAUUGCUUUCACUGUGGCAGAGUAAGAAUAGAAGAUGUGUUCAUACCCUCACCGGCUGCAGCUCAGAGGCUGGUGACCUGGCUCAAACCCACCUCCUCAGCAGUUCAAUCAAUGGCUUUGUGCCAAAGCAUGAGGGUGGGUGCAUGUUUUCUUGUGCUGGUCCUGAUAAUCAGAUCACAGUGGGAUUUGAGUCAAGCUUGCUUUAAGUUUUACUGGGAGGAGGGAGGCCUUAUAACCAUGCUCAUCCAUUGCCAUGCUCGCCCAUGUGUCAUGCUCCUCUAGUGUAUAUAUGGCUAGAUAGUGGUAUUUAUGGUGGAGAAUCCAUCCCUUACUGGUGCGAGCAGACUAGUUACUGGUUACUGUAGUAUCACUGUGUGAUUAGCAGAGGUCACAGGCCAGGGCUGAACUGUGCUCCCUUUCCCAGCUGGCAAUGCUUAACCCUGCUGUCUGUUAGAGUCAGAAUUCACUGGAGUCUCUUCCUGGUCAAACACGAUUGCCCAGUGUAGAGAAGGCAGUAGUGGUCAUCUGAGGAAAGGAGGCACUACAGUGAAUUAAGUGAGUCCAGUGAGCGAAGUUAUUCAGGGCACUGUGAUCAUUAACCAAUGUACUACAUUUCAGGGUGGAACAGGAUAUACAAUUCAUUGCAGUCAGGCUUUUCAACAGCUGAAAAAAAAAAUGCUGUAUUAUUUAUAGCCAAAAAUCCCAUAGGAGAUGUUUUACUGCUGUGGAAAUAAUUCUCCAUAUAUCUAGUUUACUAACAGUAAAAUAGAGAUCUACUAAAUAAGGCUAUUAAACAUAUUAAAAUUUAUUUUAAUAUGUUGUAAAACAUUAAAACUAUUAUAAAACAUUAUAAAGUAUUAAACUAUUAAACAUGAAAACAUAAAAUAUACUAUUUCUUAGAAUUAAAAAAGCCUAAAACUAUGUCCAGCGUUAAGUCCAAAUUUACUCUAUUGAGAAGCUCAACUGCCAUCCUUUUCACCUUUCAAUUUCCUCUGACAAAGCUUGAAGAACAAGACUAAAAUAUUCCAUGUAAGUUAUCAAAACUAACGGCAGUGGGAAAGGAUUAACUAAAGGCGCUACAAGAAUGGCAAAUUAGACGCAUUUUAUUCCUGUCUUUUAGACAUCUUUCUCAAGAGUUAUUACAGCUCAAUAGGGAGAAAGAAAUGGAGUUUAGAGGAAGUACAAGAGCUACAGCAGUUUAUAAAACAGAUGCUGACUGACUCUUUAAGCAGUGGCCAUGUUGGUAUAGCUCCACAAUAGAGCUCUGCUUCACUAACGGCAUCUCAGGUUUUCUGUCUCUCUGCAUCCCCAUCAAAUCAAUCACUUCUUCAGAAAAAGGCUGCAUACCUUACUUUUGCAAAACUACUCUGAUAGCAUUUAAAAUAGUUCUAGCAGCAGUAAAACAAACAGCAGUGAUAAUUUUUGAUUGCUGGUGGGGAAGGUGAUAGAAAGAACAGCAUCCCUGAAGUAUUGCUAGAGAUUUAAAAUGUUAUUAAGAGAGCUAGAACUGCAGAGGUUUUGUCUAAAAAUUGAGUCUAGGGAAGUUUAUUCCUAUAUCAAGGGUACAACAAAAAUGCAUACUUCAUUCCUUCCCCUGGAGAAGAGAUUACUGUCAGGACUGUCUGCAGGAUACAGCAAAAACCGUGUACAUCAAGGACCUGAUGAUGAUGGUUCCAUUAUCCUCAGAGCGUGUCUGCAUCAGCUUCAGCCACAGCACUAUUUAAAACCGAACUGUGUUUUCUCCUGGCUGACUGUGGUCCCUGAGGGAACAUCCAUCCGCUGAGCAGAAGUGACUCACCAACGCCCCAGCCCCACACUGGAUACAGUCAGCUGCAGGGAUGACUUGUGAAAAGAGCUGUCACAGCCGUCCUGGAGCCCAGCGAACGCUGCCUCGCUGGAGGUGUCCCACUGUGCAGCCCGCCUGCUUUUGGCAUUUGCUGUGCAGCUGACAUGAAAAGACGCUAAGUCUUCGGCUCUGCGAGUUUUUAAACUGUAUCGUUAAAAAGAGAGUUAAUGAAAGUAGCUAAAUGCCAUCUUGGUUUAAAAAUGUCUUGGAAAUAAAAAUGUGGAAGGGUGCACCACACCAGAGGUGCUCAAGGCAAGCAAUUUAGCAGGAGCAAUUGAAUGCCUGUAUAUGUGUCUCACAAGUAACUACCAUUAAUGUAGCUACGGCAGCAGUUCAAUCAAGGUUUUAGUUGCUGAAGAAGUGUUUUAAAGACUCUUGCACAAGCCAACCAUUCAAAGUGCUACUAUUUGAAUUGAUGAACUCAUCAGCUCAGCUGGAAAACAUACCAACUUGGAAACGCAUCUGAACUGUGUACUGCAUUAAUGCACACAUUUAAUUUAAAGGAAGAAGCUCUUUGUGGAUUUUAAAACUUAAACCCUGUAAAUAGCUCCAUCUAAACUGCUGUGAUAAAAGUGGCAAGAAGAACUGUUCUGGGAAUGGAAAUCCCUGGUUUCUGUUUUAUGCUAAGUUUUAGUCUACAGGGCUCACAAAUGAAAAAGCAUUAAAAUAAGACUUGAGAAAGCACACAAUUAUUUGGGAAGAAAACCAUGUAAAAGGAUUGAAAAAUCAAGUAUCUAUAUUCAUCUUUGGUUUAUUGCAGUUAAUAAAAUUAAGUAGAGCCGGGCCUCAUUUGAGCCUUGAUGAGAUGAUUUUGGUGGAGAGAGAAAAGCCAAACCAGCAGCUCAGUCAGGGUGUGCUUCACCCACCCUUGGCUGGGGGAAGGGUAAGAGCUGAAUCCCACGCACCACUACACCUCUGCUAAAAGGGUCCUAUGUUGUUUCAUUUGAAUUUGCAUCUGGUCGUCUGGGGAAACUGGACAAACUGUGCCCUCUACCAUCCCCCAGGAAGAGGGGUGCAAGGAUUGCAUGAUUGAGAGAUGAGGAGAAACUGAGCUCAAUGUAAAGGCUUGCUACCCACUGAGCGAGUGCUGUAUGCCCCAGCGCCGGCUGCUAUGCUGCCACCUGGCGCAGGCUGGAGGUGGGUAUUCUAAAUGCGAUCUUGACUCACAGCUUAGUUUAGCAGACAAACUUCCUUACUGUGUCCAUUUUAAAUUAGCUCUGGAGGGAUUUCAAGGCUAUCCAGUAUUGGGUGGCAGGGGUGAAGAUUAUUCUUGAAAAGCUGUGCUUAAUCUAUGCAUAUUUUCUAAAUCAUUAAUUUGGAAAUUAAUGAUGAAAAGCUCUAUGUCUGUCAAGCUCUCUUUUUCUUACCAGGAGCAAGCAAGCGUGCUGCGUAAGAAAUGAAGAAUACCAAUAAUGAUAUUUCAUUUCAAAUCAAUAAUGAUGAUUUCAAUAUAACAUCUCUCCAACCCUGAACUCCAGUAAGACUGUGUCACCUUGAGAAAAUUCAAACCCACAGAGUGCAGAAUGUAGCAGUUGGUACAGUUUCUUCUUUCUAUAUGGCUAAUCUAACAUUCUUUUAAAGCUCAAAGAUUAUGUCUUCCCUUCUUCUCCCAAAAGAUGGGAAAGGUACGAUUUGAAAAGCAAACCUGAAAAAGGAAAAUAAUGCAGGCUCAUUCUUUAUUAAAGCCUUUAGAGCAUAUCUGCUAAAUGUCAUGGAUGAUGUAGUUUAUGAGGAUCAUCUCUCUGAAUAGAUCAUUCAGCAGUGAAAUUGGAAUGGAAGAGAAGCCUAGAGAAAACCCCCCAACUUUACUGUGGUUCCCAGGAUAAAGUUUGGUCUACCUUUACUUCAACUGUAAGAAAACAAAAACCCAACGCUUUAAAGAGGGCAAAACUUUAAUAACACCAUAAAACAAUUAUACAAAGUCAUGUACAUAUUUAGACAGUUCAAAGUAAUAUAUAUAUAUAUACUUGUUUUUACUUGGUGGAAAAGUAACUUUUGCAGUUUUAGAUUGUGACUGGCUGUAGCCAAAAAGAAUUAAAAAUAUCUCUAGUUUUCUCCAAUAGGGCAGUUGGAAGUUUCACAGUUCACCAGAUUUGUAACAAGAGACUUACUGUAUGGGUAAGCCAAUAAAGCUGUUCUGGAGAUGACUGGAAAACAGCAGCAUACCUUAUGUCUGCCCUGUACAGUACCGCUUUGACAGGAGGAACAAGGAAACAUGGGUCAGAACAAACCUGGUUUUGCUUUCGGGGUGGUGGAAGGCAAGCUACGAAACAUGAACCCAAAGAUGAGAAGUAUUACCUAGCACUUGCGCUGCAGUACUUUAUUUCCUCCAUGCUGCUGGAGCCAGGAGUGUAACAGGAAGAAUUUAAAAACAAACUGGAAAAAACCCCACUCCUUUCAAUUCAACAGCAGAAUAUAUUAUCAUUGAUUACAAAAGUCAAAAGAGCUAAAUACUUGGGAUUUUGGGAAGGGGUUGGGGAAGAGAAGAGAAAAAUAUUGGAAAAAAGUAUUCUGGCUCUAGAUGAAUUUUAUAAUCUCAAAAAAUGCCCCAGACAUUUAAA